rnacentral:rRNA from 1 species
CCUACGGGUGGCAGCAGUGGGGAAUAUUGCACAAUGGGGGGAACCCUGAUGCAGCGACGCCGCGUGGGUGAGGAAGUACUUCGGUAUGUAAAGCCCUAUCAGCAGGGAAGAAAAUGACGGUACCUGACUAAGAAGCCCCGGCUAACUACGUGCCAGCAGCCGCGGUAAUACGUAGGGGGCAAGCGUUAUCCGGAUUUACUGGGUGUAAAGGGAGCGUAGACGGCGUGCCAAGUCUGAUGUGAAAGGCCGGGGCUCAACCCCGGGACUGCAUUGGAAACUGGCAUGCUGGAGUGCCGGAGGGGCAAGCGGAAUUCCUAGUGUAGCGGUGAAAUGCGUAGAUAUAUGGAAGAACACCAGUGGCGAAGGCGGCCGCCUGGCCUGUUGCUGACGCUGAGGCACGAAAGCGUGGGGAGCAAAUAGGAUUAGAUACCCUAGUAGUC